rnacentral:rRNA from 1 species
UACAGAGGUCUCAAGCGUUGUUCGGAUUCAUUGGGCGUACAGGGUGCGUAGGCGGCGCGGUAAGUCGGGUGUGAAAUCUCGGAGCUUAACUCCGAAACUGCAUUCGAUACUGCGGUGCUUGAGGACUGGAGAGGAGACUGGAAUUCAUGGUGUAGCAGUGAAAUGCGUAGAGAUCAUGAGGAAGACCAGUGGCGAAGGCGGGUCUCUGGACAGUUCCUGACACUGAGACACGAAGGCCAGGGGAGCAAACGGG